rnacentral:antisense_RNA from 1 species
CGGGCGCAGCCAAGAGGCUCCGCUGCGCGGGAUAAAAGAUUCUCCCAGGGGGCAUCUCCCUGUCUUUGGCCAGAUGGUCUCGACACGUGCGGGCACCUCUAACCCAGAGGCUGGAGCGCAGUGGUGCUACCACAGCUCACUGCAGCCUUGACCUCCCAGGCUCAAGCAAUCCUCCACCUCAGCCUUGCAAGCAGAUGGGACUAUAGGACAGUGGCAUACUAUCACAUCUAUCAAAGAAAACAUGAAAAGUGCCUGAAAUGUGCUACUGAUAAACCAAUAGCAGUGAAAACUCAUAUAUGGUACACAUUCCAUUUGGAUCACAAAAGCAAAGCCAAACAUCUCGGUAAGUGGGAGGAAGUAACUGAUGAACUGACUAAAGGAAAAACAGAGACUCUGGACUUGGUCAUGUGACUUACUUCAGUCAAUGGGACAUUAGCAAGAAUGAUAAAGCAGAAGUAUGAUAAGAAUUUGUACAUUUUGGCUUAUCAUCUUAAAAUAUUCUUGGAAGCCAGAUGCAAUAAGAAGCCCAGCCACCCUAAGACCACUAUAUGUGAGGAAACCCAAGCUAGUCAUGUGGAAAAAACAUGUAGACAGAGGGAUGCCUGGCUAGUCUCCAGCUUAGUCAUGGGAGUGAAGAAGCCACUUUGGAUGUUCCAGCCCUGGAAGAUACUUCCUGGAACAGAAGAAACACCUUGCUGAGCCCAGCACACACUGCAGAAUCAUGAGAAAUAAUAGUUGGUUUAAGCCACUAC